CCUUCAACCUCUGCCCUCCUCUCCCCGCCACCAUCUGCCCCCCCACACCCUAAUGCCCUCCUCUGCCAUCAACUCUUACCUGUUUCACCUCCUUCUCAGCAUUUCACCACUGUCUCCUCCUUAGGUCCCUGCGGAGCAUCAGCCCCUCACCCACAGCGUGGCCCGGCCCACAGACCCUGCUCACCUGGCUCCUCCCCCUGAAGAGCCCUGUCAGCCCCUCUGAGAACCCCCAGGACCACAGAUCCCGACCUUGCUCCCUACAGGUAUGCUGCCUCUCCCGUUGGCCCCAGGACAUGGGGUCCACCCAGUCCAUCUGCCCCCCACAGCCUACUGUGGGGCAGCCCGUGAGCGGUCAUGCUCCAGGGGGCACAAUGCCAGCAGGUCAGGAGCACACCCAAGUGCCCAACCCUGCCCCUGCUCACUCUGUGUGGACAGGGACAAGCCGUCAGCCAGCGUGGGCCUCAGUCUCCUCGUGUGUACGGCAAGCAUUGUGCCGUGCUGCUGGCGGGGGCCGGAUUCCACGAGCAGUACAGGACAGAGCUGGGGAUGGGUGUGACUCUCUACAGCCCAGCACUUGCUCUGUUGCUGUGGUCAUUUGUCCACCCGGGGCCUUGGGCUUCCCUAGAGGCCAAACCCAAAAGGGGCAGCCAGCAUCUGGCCUCCUGCACUCACUGGCCUAUGGGGAGUGUCCUUCAGCCAGGCCUGGACCCUGAGGUGGGUGGAGACCCCACCACCAAGUGACAUCCCACCCCCACAGACCCCUCAGCACCCAGAGCUCCAGCAAGCCCUCAGCCAAAACUGACUGCUCCAGAGCUGACCAGCCAGCCUCAGGGGGUCAGUGCUAGAGCCCAGGGUGAGCCUGCCCACCUCCAGCGGGACCUGCUCCCUGGACCCCGCCCCCCCUCCAGACCCUGGGGGUCACUGUCCUCACUGCCACACACCCUGCCAGAUGGAGCUGAGCUGGCCCUCCUGGUGGCCAAGGGGCCCUUGGAAGCCCAUCCUGGGCCAGCUGGAUGGGGAGUCACUGGACAGUUUUCAGGGGAGAGGGGCUGUCACCACAAGCUCUGGGUGCCCUCCAGCUCUAGAUGCUGCAGCUGGACUCCCAUGGGGCCUAUCCAGGGGCCGGGGAGCGAUCCUCAGCUGGUCCCUCCAGCUGCCGGUCCCCCAGGGUCAGCACCUCUGCUUGUCUGCGGGGCUGGCUCGAUGGGCAUGUGUGGCCCUUGAUGCAGGUGGUAGUUGUUCAGCGGCUGAACCCAUGUCAUGGGGGCUCAAGGCCCCAGAGCCCUCUUGGCCCUGCCAAGCAGAGGCAGAUGUGGUGAAAGCUGGGGCCAAGGGCCAGCCUGGGGCACCCAGCCCGCCCCACCUCAGCUGGGGAAGAAGUGUCUGUGGGCAUCUUCAUUCCCAACCCUCCCGCAGCCACACCUCCUGCUCUGCCUUGGAGACCUGCCCUGUGGAGCCGUCCCUGUCCUGGGCCCCAGGGUGCUGGGCCCCAGGGCCACAUGUGUGGCAGGCACAGCUCUCCCAUUGAGGCUGCCUGCACACCCUCCCUGCCCCACAGUGCACACACGUGUGGACAUGCAUAGCCGGCUCUGCUCCAGUAUCCACAGUACAGAAACACGCCACAUGUCACUCAACCCAGGCCCCACAGUGGAGCCACGAGUGCCUAAGAUCCCUGCAGGGGACACAUGAACCACAUGCACCACGUGUGCACAUAGAUGUGUGUGCUCCUCGGUGCACACGGAUGUGCAUGUGUGCUCACACAUGGAUGCCAGCACACGUCAAGUGCAGGUGUACACGUGUACAAACGCAGGUGCGACCCUCAGGGCAAGGUCAUGGCUGAGCCAGGCCCCCCAGGGGAGGGGUAUGUGCUGGGCAGCCGCCAACUGGGAGCUAAGCCUCCCGCUCCUGUGAGGCUGGGGAGCAGGUGCCCACUGCUCUUGGGGCCUCCAGGGGCUGACAAGGCUGCAUCACCUGGUAUAGCCCCAGCCCCUCCCCUACACAUCUGCCUGGCAGGCGUCACUGCAGGAGUGGGUGGCUGGCAGGGCAGGGUGCUGAGCGAGCUAUGGAGGUGAGCGGAGACCAUGGUGCCCCCACCCUGCACCACCCCUGCGCCCCGAAGCUCAGUUGCAGGGGCUGACACAGAGCAGGGUGGGACCACUGGUGUCUGGACUCCUGGCACCACGUCUACAAUAUCCCCGCUUCUGAUAUCUGCCGCCUGGACCUGGAGCAGCCUCCUUCUAGGACAGACAGAUUUCUUGGUGCUCAGGUGGGGGGCGGGGGUGGGACGGGAGCCGCGACCAACUGGACGCACAGGGCCCCAGCUGUGAGUCUGGCCUCUGUGUGGCCCUGGGCAGGUAGCUGAGCCCCUCUGAGCCUCCGUCUUGGCCCCCACUUGGGGCGGUUACCUCCCCAUCUUCCUCCUGGGCCAUGCAGAGUCCAGAGGCGCACAGGUGCCCCAAGCCAGCAGCCCGUGCAAGGCCGUGGUCCAGGAGCCAGCAGUGUGGACCAGGCUCCCUGGCGCAACCUCCUCCCCAGGCCUCAGUUUCGGUCUCCACCACAGCCAGAGCUGCCAGCAGGCUGCAGCAUGGGCUGUGCCCGGGGCCAGGUCUCACUGGGCAUCCGAGGCCCUGAGAAGGGAAGGGGGCUGCCUGGGCCGCCUGGUGUGGGGGUGAAGCUGGGGCUGCACCAGGGUAGGUUGGGGGCCAGCAGGCCUCUCACCCCAGCUGCUGCAGGGACUCACUGGGACCGCUGCCCACCCCCACCUCCGAGCUGUUGAGAGAGCUGUCCACUGGAGACACAGCAGCCAAGCUGCAGAUCCCCUGAGCCCUGACCUGUGAUAAGAAAGCCGGGAUUUGGCCUGGCUCCCCCUCUGCUGCUCCCUUUUGUUCCAGAGACACAUUGCUUGUGGGUUGUGCCCUCCUGAAAGACGAAGAGACACGGCUGCAGCCCAAGGUUCGGGGUCACCUGCCCUGCAUGGCACCUGUCCUGUGUGACCCUGGGUGGUGACCUCCCCUCUGUACCCUGCCCCGGCCUCACCACCUCCUGUCUCCUCUCCAGCUUGACCCAGACCCGCUGCCUGUGACCCCGGUGCCUUCCUGCCAGGAUGACCAGUGGGCACCACAGCCAUGGGCCCCAGAGCAGGCCGAGGGUGCCACCCAGGGAGGGCUGGAUGUCAGCAGGGCCAACAUGUGGGCCAGUGCCAACACCUCCCUCCUGCAAGGCUUCUGGUGCCAGCCGGCCAGUCAGCUAGCCCGGGACCAGCUUGCCGCUCUGAUCAGGAGGAUGGAGACGCAGCAUGUCCUCCUCGGAGCCUGGCAGGUCAGCGGCGG